AUUGAACGCUGGCGGCAGGCCUAACACAUGCAAGUCGAACGAGUGGCGGACGGGUGAGUAAUGUCUGGGAAACUGCCUGAUGGAGGGGGAUAACUACUGGAAACGGUAGCUAAUACCGCAUACCAUCAGAUGUGCCGAGAUGGGAUUAGCUCGUUGGUGGGGUAACGGCUCACCAAGGCGACGAUCCCUAGCUGGUCUGAGAGGAUGACCAGCCACACUGGAACUGAGACACGGUCCAGACGCCUACGGGAGGCAGCAGUGGGGAAUAUUGCACAAUGGGCGCAAGCCUGAUGCAGCCAUGCCGCGUGUAUGAUGAAGGCCUUCGGGUUGUAAAGUACUUUCAGCGGGGAGGCGGGAACCGCAGAAGAAGCACCGGCUAACUCCGUGCCAGCAGCCGCGGUAAUUA
rnacentral:rRNA from 1 species